rnacentral:rRNA from 1 species
CCGGGCUCAACCUGGGAACUGCAUUCGAAACUGGCAGGCUAGAGUCUUGUAGAGGGGGGUAGAAUUCCAGGUGUAGCGGUGAAAUGCGUAGAGAUCUGGAGGAAUACCGGUGGCGAAGGCGGCCCCCUGGACAAAGACUGACGCUCAGGUGCGAAAGCGUGGGGAGCAAACAGGAUUAGAUACCCUGGUAGUCCACGCCGUAAACGAUGUCGAUUUGGAGGUUGUGCCCUUGAGGCGUGGCUUCCGGAGCUAACGCGUUAAAUCGACCGCCUGGGGAGUACGGCCGCAAGGUUAAAACUCAAAUGAAUUGACGGGGGCCCGCACAAGCGGUGGAGCAUGUGGUUUAAUUCGAUGCAACGCGAAGAACCUUACCUG